ACUGCAAUCCAGUUUUGCUAUGUUAUACAACUCUGACAUAAGUUGACUCCUCCUAAAACAAAACAAAAAAAGUAAAUCCCCCAACACUUGAACAAGACCACUUUUGUUUGCCAGAUUAGCAGUAAAUUAUUCCAGAAUACAGCAUUGAUUCUGACUGCCAUGCAUUCUGAUUUCUAGUCUCUGUUCUGGGAUCAUUUCAAUUGAAUCAAGCUGCCAAACCAAUGAGAUGCUGUUGGAUCUGCACCCUGAUAAACCUGGUCAUGAGAUUUGAAGGUCUUCUAUUUAUAAAGAACGUUUUUCACUGUAAAAAAAAAACACAGCAAGUUUAAACAACUUCAUUAUGCAAGUCAAUUCAACAUACUUUUUAAAGUUUUGAGUUGUGAUAAGUUGGCAUAACUUGUUUAGCUUAAUUUGUUAAAAGGGACAUACUGUAUCAUGAAAAUGUGACUUUUUCCAUGUAUCCAUGUGUUCAAUACUUAUUACCAGUGUCAUUUCACUUUA